AUACGGAGGGUGCGAGCGUUGUUCGGAAUUAUUGGGCGUAAAGAGCAUGUAGGCGGUCUGUUAAGUCUGGUGUGAAAGCCCGGGGCUCAACCCCGGAAGUGCAUUGGAUACUGGCAGACUUGAGUAUGGGAGAGGAAAGCGGAAUUCCGAGUGUAGGAGUGAAAUCCGUAGAUAUUCGGAGGAACACCAGUGGCGAAGGCGGCUUUCUGGACCAAUACUGACGCUGAGAUGCGAAAGCGUGGGGAGCAAACAGGAUUAGAUACCCCGGUAGUCC
rnacentral:rRNA from 1 species